UACAGAGGUCCCGAGCGUUGUUCGGAUUCACUGGGCGUAAAGGGUGCGUAGGUGGUGAGGUAAGUCGGAUGUGAAAUCUCCGGGCUCAACCCGGAAAUGGCAUUGGAAACUACCUUGCUGGAGGGUUUGAGGGGGGAUUGGAAUACUUGGUGUAGCAGUGAAAUGCGUAGAUAUCAAGUGGAACACCAGUGGCGAAGGCGAAUCCCUGGAAAACACCUGACACUGAGGCACGAAAGCUAGGGGAGCAAACAGG
rnacentral:rRNA from 1 species